UCGCUACACGUGUGUUGAGCUUAUUGCUGCGCACCCUUGUAAUCACCGGCGGACGGGUGAGUAAUGCCUAGGAAUCUGCCUGGUAGUGGGGGACAACGUUUCGAAAGGAACGCUAAUACCGCAUACGUCCUACGGGAGAAAGCAGGGGACCUUCGGGCCUUGCGCUAUCAGAUGAGCCUAGGUCGGAUUAGCUAGUUGGUGGGGUAAAGGCUCACCAAGGCGACGAUCCGUAACUGGUCUGAGAGGAUGAUCAGUCACACUGGAACUGAGACACGGUCCAGACUCCUACGGGAGGCAGCAGUGGGGAAUAUUGGACAAUGGGCGAAAGCCUGAUCCAGCCAUGCCGCGUGUGUGAAGAAGGUCUUCGGAUUGUAAAGCACUUUAAGUUGGGAGGAAGGGCAUUAACCUAAUACGUUAGUGUUUUGACGUUACCGACAGAAUAAGCACCGGCUAACUUCGUGCCAGCAGCCGCGGUAAUUAA
rnacentral:rRNA from 1 species